GGAUCGGUAGCUCAGUGGUAGAGGUUCGUACUUUCUUAAUUCCGAACGUAUCCAUGAUUAACACUAACGGUCUUAACAGCGUGGGAUUGCAGCUUCAUGUUACGAUUAUCCUAAGGUCACGCGUUCGACCCGCGUUCGAUCCU
rnacentral:tRNA from 1 species